rnacentral:rRNA from 1 species
UCCGUAGGCGGGCAAUUAAGUCAGAGGUGAAAUCCCACAGCUCAACUGUGGAACUGCCUUUGAUACUGGUUGUCUUGAGUUAUAGUGAAGUAGAUAGAAUAUGUAGUGUAGCGGUGAAAUGCAUAGAUAUUACAUAGAAUACCGAUUGCGAAGGCAGUCUACUAACUGUAUACUGACGCUAAUGGACGAAAGCGUGGGGAGCGAACAGGAUUAGAUACCAUGGUAGUCC